CACCCCCACACUAUACACUCCCUCCACUCCACCCCUCCUUCCUUUGUGAUUGCAAUUGAGAUAGGUCCCUUCACCUUUAAAAAGAAAAAUAGAUGAGCGGUCUGCACCUGCAAGGCGGUGCUCUUGUUUUUAAUUCGUUGCAAACGAACAAGGGAGCUUAGUUUUUUAUGCUCCUUCGGGGAGCAUAUAGUUGCCAGUUUGUCCUUCCUUACUGCCUUACUUCCGUCACACUUUUGUUACAGUUUCUCAUAGCACCUUCAAUACUUUACCGAUCUCUUUCAUAUUUGGCAUGUAGGUACCUUGCAUGGACCUCUACCUUUUGAUGAGGUUUGAGGUCACUGGGGUCAAGGUCACCGAGGCUAAUAAUAGAUUUUUCCGUCACACUUUUGUUACACUUUCUCAUAGCACCUUCAAUACUUUACCGAUCUCUUUCAUAUUUGGCAUGUAGGUACCUUGCAUGGACCUCUACCUUUUGAUGAGGUUUGAGGUCACUGGGGUCAAAGUCACCGAGGCUAAUAAUAGAUUUUUCAGUCACACUUUUGUUACAGUUUCUCAUAGCACCUUCAAUACUUUACCGAUCUCUUUCAUAUUUGGCAUGUAGGUACUUUGCAUGGACCUCUACCUUUUGAUGAGGUUUGAGGUCACUGAGGUCAAGGUCACCGAGGCUAAUAGUAGAUUUUUGCGUCAUACUUUUUGCAGUUUCUCAUAGAACCUUCAAUACUUUUCCGAUCUCUUUCAUAUUUGGCAUGUAGGUACCUUGCAUGGACCUCUACCCUUUGAUGAGGUUUGAAGUCACUGGGGUCAAGGUCACGGUCACCGAGGCUAAUAAUAGAUUUUUCCGUCACACUUUUGAUACAGUUUCUCAUACCACCUUCAAUACUUUACCGAUCUCUUUCAUGUUUGUCAUUUAGGUACCUUGCAUGGAUCUCUACCUUUUGAUGAGGUUUGAGGUCACUGGGGUCAAGGUCACCGAGGCUAAUAAUAGAUUUUUCCGUCACACUUUUGUUACACUUUCUCAUAGCACCUUCAAUACUUUACCGAUCUCUUUCAUAUUUGGCACGUAGGUACCUUGCAUGGACCUCUACCUUUUGAUGAGGUCACUGGGGUCAAGGUCACCGAGGCUAAUAAUAGAUUUUUCCGUCACACUUUUGUUACAGUUUCUCAUAGCACCUUCAAUACUUUUCCGAUCUCUUUCAUAUUUGGCAGGUAGGUACCUUGCAUGGACCUCUACCUUUUGAUGAGGUUUGAGGUCACUGGGAUCAAGGUCAAGGUCACCGAGGCUAAUAAUAGAUUUUUCAGUCACACUUUUGAUACAGUUUCUCAUACCACCUUCAAUAGUUAACUGAUCUCUUUCAUGUUUGGCAUUUAGGUACCUUGCAUGGACCUCUACCUUUUGAUGAGGUUUGAGGUCACUAGGGUCGAGGUCACCGAGGCUAAUAAUAGAUUUUUACGUCACACUUUUGUUACAGUUUAUCAUAGCACCUUCAAUACUUUACCGAUCUCUUUCAUAUUUGGCACGUAGGUACCUUGCAUGGACCUCUCUACCUUUUGUUGAGGUUUGAGGUCACUGGGGUCAAGGUCACCGAUGCUAAUAAUAUAUUUUCCGUCACGCUUUUGUAACAGUUUCUCAUAGCACAUUCAAUACUUUACCGAUCUCUUUCAUAUUUGGCAUGUAGGUACUUUGCAUUGGCCUCUACCUUUUGAUGAGGUUUGAGGUCACUAGGGUCAAGGUCACCGAGGCUAAUAGUAGUUUUUUUCGUCAUACUUUUUUGCAGUUUCUCAUAGAACCUUCAAUACUUUUCCGAUCUCUUUCAUAUUUGGCAUGUAGGUACCUUGCAUGGACCUCUACCCUUUGAUGAGGUUUGAGGUCACUGGGGUCAAGGUCGAGGUCACCGAGGCUAAUAAUAGAUUUUUCCGUCACACUUUUGAUACAGUUUCUCAUACCACCUUCAAUACUUUACCGAUCUCUUUCAUGUUUGUCAUUUAGGUACCUUGCAUAGACCUCUACCUUUUGAUGAGGUUUGAGGUCACUGGGGUCAAGGUCACCGAGGCUAAUAAUAGAUUUUUCCGUCACACUUUUGUUACACUUUCUCAUAGCACCUUCAAUACUUUACCGAUCUCUUUCAUAUUUGGCACGUAGGUACCUUGCAUGGACCUCUACCUUUUGAUGAGGUUUGAGGUCACUGGGGUCAAGGUCACCGAUGCUCAUAAUAUAUUUUCCGUCACGCUUUUGUAACAGUUUCUCAUAGCACAUUCAAUACUUUACCGAUCUCUUUCAUAUUUGGCAGGUAGGUACCUUGCAUUGGCCUCUACCUUUUGAUAAGUUUUGAGGUCACUGGGGUCAAGGUCAAGGUCACCGAGGCUAAUCAAAUAUUUUUUAUGUGGUUAUAAACACAUAGAUUGACAAAGCGCUUCAUCGGGGAGCAUCCAUCAGUUUCACUGAUAUUCUUGUUUUACUUGGUUGUUAACAGUAACCAGCCACUCAUACUUGUUUAUUCUAUUCAUCAUUAACAGUAACAAUGCGCAUAUACCUAAUUAUUGAUUUUAUUAUAAACAUUACCAAGUAGACGAAACUUAUUUAUUUACUUCACUGUUACUGAUGUAACUGUAACCACUCACUUGCAUUAAUUUAUUGUUUUCACAGUUAGAGUAAUCAGUGACACAUUUCUCCGUAGACAGUAACCAAUGACAAAUAAUAAAGUAACUUCUUCAUUGUUAACACUAACCAGUGACAUAAUAAAUUAUGCUUAUUUAUUUACUUCAUGGUUAAUAGUUACCAGUGGCAUAUGCUUCUAGUUAUUUACUUCAUUGUAAACACACGUAAUAGUUAGGAUGGCGAUCGUCCAUGCCGACACAGGUAUAUUUCGCCGUUUUAUAUCCUAUAUUACUUUUUGUUUCAUUUAUAAAUGACGCUCAGUUUCCAGCCAUAUCAGCGAGAAAGUGAUUAGCGUUUAUUUCGUAUUAACAUUCGCAUUUUAUCUCGACUUUCCUCUAUGCCAAUUUUCUUAGUGGAGCUGAAAUGAGGUCAUUCCGCUUCAAAAUGUUCGGCAAGUAAAGUCGAGAUAUAGAGCGAGUACUAAUACGAAACAAACGCUAGUAACUUUCAUUCUGACAUGGCUGGAAAGUGAGCGUCAUUAAUUUAAUACGAAAUAAAUAGAGGAUAUUUGUUGGAUUCGGUGGAUUAUCGAAUUUAAUUCACGAGUGAUCAUUGAAAAUAAUAUGUUCACGAGAAGCGCAGCCACGAGUGAAAAUAUAUAUUUUCUAUGAUCACGAGUGAAUUAAAAUCGAUAUUCCACCGAAUCCAACAAAAUUUCUUUUUAUUUUAUGCUUUUUUUCACAGUUUAUAUACAUUAUUAAAGAGUUUAACUAAAGAAUUCCGCCGGGAUAAUGACGUCAUUUCGUCAAAAAAAUGACGUCAUUUUACAGUAAACAGUGAAAAUUAUCGAUUAUUUUCACUGAUAAUUUUCACUGUUUAAAACUGUGAAAUUAUCAGUUUUAAUUUACUGAUAUUUCUCUAUAAACCACCGGAAAGCAUAAAAUAAACGCUAGUAACUUUCUCUCUGACAUGGCUGGAAAGUGAGCGUCAUUUUAAAAAGGCAAACAAUUAAUAAACGGUAUAAAACGUCGAUAAAUACUUGUCUCGGGAUUGACAUCGCCAGCUUGAAUAUCACGUGAUUACCCUUUCCGAAACAGUAACCAUUGACAUAUGUUGAGUUAUUUACUUCAUUGUCAACAGUAACCAAUGACAUAUGCGAAAUAUGUAAUUCAUUGUGAACAGUAACCACUAACACAUGUUAACUUAAUUGUAAACAGUCACCACUGGCACAUAUUUAGUCGUUUACUUCAGUGUAAACAUCGACCAAUGACAUAUUCUUUGUUAUUUACUAAAUUGUAAACAGUAACCACUGGCCCACACUUAAGUGUUUAGCGGUACUUCAUUAAAACAAGUUAUCACUGGCACAUACUUUGUUGUUUCAUUUAUAGUAAACAGUCACCACGAUCGCAUACUUAGUUGUUUCAUUUAUAGUAAACAGUCACCACGAUCACAUACUUAGUUGUUUCAUUCAUUGUAAACAGUCAUCACUUGCACAUAUAUAGUUGUUUACUUCAUUGUAAACAUCGACCAAUGACAUAUUCUUAGUUAUUUAAUUCAUUGUAAACAGUAACCACUGGCACAUACUUUAGUGUUUUGCGAUACUUCAUUAAAACAAGUUAUCACUGGCGCAUACUUGGUUGUUUAAUUUAUAGUAAACAGUUCUACGAUCACAUACUUAGUUGUUUACUUCAUUGUAAACAGUCACCACUAUCACAUAAUUAGCUGUUUACUUCAUUGUAAAUAGUAAUCACUGGCAAAUACUAAGUAUGGUAAUUUAUUUCACUGUUAAAAGUAACCAGUGGUCCAUAUUAAGGCAUAAGAGUUAGUGUAAACAGUAACAAACCAAAACGAAAGAGCAUAAUAUAUUUAAUACAGAAAGCUUAAAUUUAAUCAAUAUCAAACUUAAGAAAAUACAACAGUUCAGUGAUGUUUUAUAUAACACAAAACGUAGCACAAAUGAAGACAAAUUUAAACCAUAAUGAAAUCAAUUUCUUCCCUUUGGCAUUAUAUUACAAGAUGAGGUAGUAAAUGCCGUUUGAUCAGUAUUAUGGUUGAAAAUUGUAUUAAAAACACACCUUUUACUCCAAAUAACAAACCAAAAAUAUGCAAAUACCAUACUGAAUGUGUAGGCCUUUUGUCAACAUUCUACUAGAACUCUAAAAAAGCAAGCCAAAUGUAUAACACCCUGAUCAAAUGUCAUAAAUAUAAAAAAUAUAUAUGGAUAUAAAUGUUAAGUAAUUGUGAUUUUAGGUCAAUUAGUUUAUGUUUGAAUGGUGAACAUAACCCAAAAUAUAUGUUGCUUGCUUGUGUUGCUAAUAUACUUCAUUAAAUCACUAACCAGCAAAGGGACUUUGGAGUAAACAAAUAAUAUCAUUAUGAAUGGGGCAUCAUAGGCUUGCACUUGUUGAGCUACAAAACUUUUUCCAACCAGAUUUGCACUGCACUUGUAAGGUUUCUGUUUUUCAACAUGCUUAUUAAUGGGUGGUUUAACCUUUCAGCUGCACCAUUAUCCAUUAUAUUUUAUAGAAUAUAGUCUAACAUUUCUUAAUGCCUGUACAUUUACAGAGCUCAGUUAUGGUUUUUCCAACGAAAUUCCUUUUUUGAUCACUAAGGGGUUGUUUUGAUGAAGAAAGUAAUAAAAUGCUCUGGCAGUUGUUUUUGGGCAUAAUAAGUGAAAUGGACCACUAUAACUUACUUAUCCAAAUAGGAAUCCUUGGAAUUUUCUAGUGAUAAAAAAGUCAAUACUGACCAACUCCAAAGGUCUUUUAGUAGAUAUUGGUACCAACUCUGCUUCUGGCUUAACAGGUGUUUUGACAGAUAAAUAACAAUCAUCAUUUUCCAUAAUUUCGGCCACAUCAUUUCAAACCAGGCCAAUCAGAACCUACUUCUUGCAAGCCAAAGAUGGAUGUCAUUGCCCGGAUGCCCUACAACGCUGUUUAUGUCACUAAAGCAACAUCGUGAUUAAGUAUGGGGGUAACAAGCUGAUUUGCUUUUUGAUUAUCAAGAACAAGAGCUUGAUACAGAAAUACAAGUUCUAAUUAUACAAAGUCAGAGGUACUAUAUGAUUCAAACUAGAUCUUAUAGCAGUCUCAAUUGUCACACACACACACACAUGCUCAAUGCAAUAU